AGAGAAUGCAAGACAGCCCAUCUGGGUAUCAGCCAGAAACAUCAAGCCUGCAACUGACAGCCAACCAGAACCAGCUGAAUAAGACUGAGAGUCCGCCUUGUUAGCGGACACACCUGUCCUGUCAUCCUACCCUGAGAAACUGCCCAUAGCCACAUCCAUUACUGUUUUAUACCCCACUAGCUCUGGUCAGCCACUUAAACGGCCCACAGCCUGUGUGCAGUCAAGCCAUUCCUGAUUAACAUUGUUCUUCAUUCCUACCCCCAUUUGAGCAAGCACUCCUGUGGUCUCCCAUUUUGAGCGCUGGUUAGUCAAUGACGGGUAAGAUCCCCUGGGGGACAAUCUAAGACAGGCAUAACCAUACACGGAGACCACAUGGAAACAGGGUCAACAAUGGUAUGGCCAAGAAUCAUGCCUCCCGUUGCUCAAAAAUAAACAAAAAGGGGUAAAUGUGGUGGAAUGAGAAGGCUAUGCCAAGAUGGCUGCUGGCAACAGAGUCUGCCUGGCAACAGGCUGUGAUUGGAUGGCUUCAGAAACUGCCUGGCAACAGGGUGUGAUUGUUUAGGGCAUAGACUGCCCCUUGACUGGAUUGGCUGCCUUGGUUAUAUAAGCUGUUGUAGCAACUGGAAUAAAUGAGUCUUUAGGCUGCUUGCCUCAGGCCUGCUUUCACCCAACUCCAGGGGUCUGUGCCGUGACUCCGCGCCUCUUGCCCCCACCACAUUCCUCCUCCCAGAAAGGAAUCCACUGCAACAUCCACACACUUUUGGAAAAAUACAAAAUCUGCCAGAACUGUUUAAUGCUAUAUUUACAGUCACCAUCUUGUGCUUCAUUCACAUAAGCCUCUCAUGUUUUCAGAGGAUGGUUCUUCAUCAUUGUGAAGCUACUAAUAAAGAUAGCACUCCAGAAGCUUUAUGUUGGGAAAUGCCUUAAAAAUGGUGGGAUUAACUUUUCCAUCUGAUUCAGAGCUGCAGCACGGGAAAGCUGGCAGUAACUACAAGCAUGCCAUCUGCAAGGACAUGAAAUCCUUUGUUAACUGGUAUAGUGGUUUCACUAGAGGAGCUAGAAAUUCAAAAGCGGUUAUUGUUGAUGGAUGAAAUCCCUGCAUGGUCAUAAUUUUUAUAAGAAAUUGCUGAAUUCUGGGAGACGCCUUGACAAUUAGGAUGAAUAUACAUGGAACAAGAAGAAUCAAGAGCAAGGACCACAUCAAAGAAGAGAGAGAACGUUUUGCUGUUUCCUAGAUACUGUAAGUUGAAAAACACACGUUAGCACAAUCAUAGAACCUUGACUUCAUCAUAAAUCCUUUUGAUAUCUUCUUCCGUGAGCCAACGGUUGUUAAAGUAAGUGCAACAGAUUUUACUAAUAACUGGAUGUAUCCUGCCAUGUUCUGGCUGUAGAUAAUCUGGAAAUAGUAGGUUUCGCAUGACCACGUUAGCUUGGGAAUACAAGGAAUCUUGUAGUUGCUCCAGACUUGGCUAUCAGUCUAAUCUCAAUCACUCAAGGCAGCAAACAGGUUUUCCAAAGUGACUUCAUGUUAAGUAGUAAGAUUUUCUCCUCUAGCUAUUAUGGUGGAAAAACUGAUGCAAGAGGUUGUCCUGACAAUGUCAGGUUGUCCAGAAAGAUGAUAGAAGUAGGAAAAUCAUGCCUGGUAAAUGUCUGGGGAGAAGGAUAUUUCAAGGCAAUUUUUUUUUAAAUUUUUAGUCUUUCGAAGGUAAAACUGAGGUCCUCAACUGGAUCAUAAACAAUGUUAGAGUUAUCUCCUGAUUGGGCCUGUGAAGACUGAAGGGGUAGAAGUUUAAUUUAUGACAGAUGUAUCCAACUAGAAAUCUCCUGUAAUUUAAUUGCAGUAGAAAUGCUAAGUAGCACUUGAUGGACAAAGUGACUUGUUAGAAGGGGUGCUUGCCAUCUUACUCCUAGAUUGCUGCAAAUCUUUGAGGAUGGCAGUCUUAUGCAGGAACAAAGUAAGUCUGUUGUGUUAGUCAGAAAAUUGAGAUUCUUACCUGUGGCAUCCAAGGCCAUCUGGAGCUCCAGGAGUGUGAUGGUCACAUGUCUUGUGGCAGCAACAUGAGUUCUCAUGUACUAUCAGUUGUUGGAUGAGGACAUGAGGAGCCUGGGAGUUCUCUGACUCUUUUGAAUCUGAAGGCUAUCUCAUUUUCAGUGUCCUUUUUUACAAUUGAAGUACACGGACUUGGUGAGGUUUUUAGGAGAGGAAAUUACUUGCGCCAAUGUUCCAGAUUCCCACAAUGAAUGAAACACCCUAUUUUGAGAUUUUCACAAAUAAUUGAUUACCCCCUUGGUUGGUACUAAAGUCACUGGAAAAUGUUUACAGGGAUUAUUAUCAUGUAAGCCUGUUAUCUGGAAUAGUGUUACCCUUGUUGAACUCCCCUUUCCUCCUCAGUUUUGUCUCUAUUAUCACCCCAAAUGUAAUAUGUAGCAUUGGGAUCAUGACAAUUUGAGGUCCCAUUUCCAGUUUAUGGAGUUUGCUCCAUAAAUAUAUAAGGCUGCUUGAUGAAAAAUAUACCAACUGGGACCCAGUUCUUCAGGGGUGUCAGGAUUUAUCUUAGCAUCUUUUUAAGGCCUCUAUUAGUCACCCCUGGAAUAAGACCAAAUUAUCUUCCUCAUGCUGUGUUACCUCCCUCAUUUUGCCAUAAUCUGUGGGUGUGAUAAUAAAAUUUUUCAUUUCAACCA
ensembl:lncRNA